rnacentral:hammerhead_ribozyme from 1 species
AUCCAGCUGACGAGUCCCAAAUCGGACGAAAUGCGCAUUAUCCUGGAU